GUGUGUGUGUGUGUGUGUGUGUGUGUGAAAAGACUGCUAAUGAAGGCGAUUUAUUGUAGGCUUGUGUGCUGCUAGGCUCUACAUGGUUUCUUUCAGUUUGGUGCCAUCUAGUGGGAUUUUUAAAAAUUACUUACUUUUAUUUUGGGGAUUACAUUGCAGAUUUGUUUUGUGUACUUGCUGAGACAGGCUAGAUCUAGACGAGGCUGGCCUUGAACUUUACAGCAAUCUCCUGCAUCUAUUUCUGAAGUGCUGGCAUUAAAGGUGUGCUCAACCAUGCCUGCCUUUGGAUGGGUUUUUCUCAAGGAAAGAGUUCAUCGGUUGUCAGCCCGGUUCAUGCCGCAAAAUUUCUAAAACCUGUUUUAGAAUUUGUCUGAGUGGGAGUCUUGGCGGGGAAGGCGGAUGUAGGGUGAGUAUAUCUGCUUCCUGACAGCAACCUGGGCACCAAGACGCACAUGCAGAUGAAGCAUUCAGAACAAUGGGCCACUUCCAAAUGGCUGAAAAUAAAAUGCAAGCUGAGUAGUGAGUGAAGCUGCAGGGGAGAGACAGAGGAGGAAUCACAGGCCUGCCAAGCUAUAUUUAUUUUGUAAAGAAUGGAUUUGUAUUAGUUAGAUUGGGAGGCAUACACAUACAUGUGUGCAUACAAAGAUGUACAUAAAAGGCUUUUAAAAUCAGACACUUGCUUUAUGUUUUUAAAAGGUAAGGGGAUAAGUUGUUUAGGAUUUGAUGCAGAUUUUGCUGUCAUGGAAGAUCCAGGUUCCUUCACUACCAUCUCAUCCCUAGGGUGUGGUGUGGCCUUUCUCCAGCCAUUGUGUCCUCAUAUCCAAGUGGACAGCCACACAGUUUCUACUUCAUUCUUCUAGAAAACAAAGGAACCAAUUUCAAAGCUCUUUUCCUCUUUGGUCCCUGAGUCCUCCACUUCAUUUGAGGAGAGCAAUGCCAUGAGCCCUGGGUGGAGGUGUGGGAGGCCAGGAUGUGAGGAGCAUACUUCAGAAAACAACAGAGGAAUGCACUAAAUGUCAGAGAGGGCAGCUUUGACAGAGUUGGCUUCACAGCAGCUGGAGACAUUGGUGAAGGUGCACCUUCAGUUUUGUAGAGCAGAACCCUGGUAACGUAGAAGCCCCCUUCUUCACAGCCUCCUUUCCCCUCAUGACAGGCUCACUCAUGGUGGAGUAGACGACGCAGAAGUUAGCUGGCCCUGAACCGAUGGGACAUACAUAGAGAAGGCUUUCCGGAAACUUGAAGAGAGCCGUGUCUUGUGCUUGCCCCUACUAUGUCCUUGACCCAAAUACAUACCUUAAGAUGAGAAAGAUGUCAGAGAUGGAGGAAAGAUGGAGAAAACUGAUGUGGGAGGUCACUGGGGGCAACGGAGAAGACAAGGAGUCAGCAACAGCCAAGCCACCCCUGCCACUACCAAAGGUGAGACAAGUAAAAUAAUGACAGUGGGCCACUGUCUCUAAUCUCCCAAAGCAACUAUUACUUGAAUGAGUCAAACUUGAAAACAUAGAGCUGUGUAAGCAGCUGCUCUGCUGCUACUAACAAAGUCGCCCUUCUAACCUGUCAGGGGCUUUCAAAUGUUGGAGAAGGCACCAUAUCCCCAAGUCAAGACGGUGGCUGACCACUACUCGAGAACUGAGGCUUGAAAUGAAUUAUGGUUUACCCUACCCACCUGGUAUUGGCCAAAUUUUUCAUUUGCUAGACUCCUUCUUGUCCCUCUUCAAAGAAAAGUGCACAAUGGCCUGUGCUUCUUAACAAUUUGGUUAUACAUGAACAAGACUCAUGAGGAGUGCCUGGCCCCAAAAGUAUUUUCUUGUUGUCUUUUAAGAGACCAGAGAGAGUCCAUUAUAAAAAACACUUACAUUUUCUCAUUGUUUAUUUCUAGGGCUUAAAAUCACAAUCCUCAUCUUUCAUUAAAUGUGUCAUUACUAUUAGAAAGCCCCCAAAUGCACCACUGAACUUGAAUAUGGCUGUUCCACACUGUAGAGAGUUACAUUAAGGCCAUACAGUCGUGGAACUAACAUUUGUAUUAAUCCUGCGCCAGGCUCUAAGCUACCAAACACUACGUUAAUCCUCAUUCUGACUCUUUGGGAUGGGCAGCUUUCUCAUCUGCAAUUUUCGGAUGAAGAGCCGGAGUCACUCAGUCUCUGAGUGAUUCCCCUGCUAGUCCACUUUGGACAGGAUUUGCACGGAAAAGUGCUGUCACAGUGAAAUGACUAAGAGAGCCAUAUCUGCCUUGUCUAACCUAGAGGUGACUCCAGCUGGCCCCGGAUUCUGUGGAAUAUCAUCCAGUGGAAUUAAAUCCCGAAUCUGGAACAGAAAGAGAGUAGAGUGGGUGUGACUAGUGUUCUGUGACAGUCUUAUGAGGCUUUCCUGUCAGUCACCAGGGCCACCAUUUCAAGCUUGCAGUCUGGUGGAGCACACACAUUGUGACUAGGUCUAAUUAUUGCCUUCCCCUAUUUAAUUUUUAAUUGCUGUGUAACUUUUUGUUUUAUUUUCUUUUUGAGACAGGGUUUCUCUGUAUUGCU